AUUAGGAUUUGAUUUAGGAUUUAAGUAUUGCUUAGGAUUUAAGAUUUUUUUAGGAUUUAAUUAGAAUUUGACUUAGGAAUUAAGUAAAGACUAUUAGAAUUUAAAUUUUAAUUAGGAUAAAAGUAAGAUUUGAUUAAAAUUUAUUUAAAAUAUAUUUUGGAUUUUAUUUUAAUACUUCCUUUGAAUUUCUUUAGGAUUUCUUCAUACUUCUUUUGUAAUUUUUUUGAAGUUUCUUUGAAUUGAUUAAAACUUAAUUAACAUUGUUAAGGUUUAAUUGAAAUUAUUUAAGAUUUUAUUAGAAUUAAAAUCUUAUUAUUGCAAUACUCCUUCUACCUUCCAUAGCCAAGUGCUCGAUGCAUUUUCAAUUAAGGCUUUGUAUAAUAUGACAACACCUUUUUUAGACAUUUUUAUUUUAUAUCAAAAGAAAAGAAUGUAACUUUUCAUUAACAAAGAUUUUUUUUUCUAAAAGUCAGAGUAUUUUUAUCUUUAUACAAUCAUGAGAUAUUUUUUCAAAAUUAAAAAUUCCUCAUCAUUGAUCAUAUAGACUUCUUUAGCCAUUAUCUAUUCUAAAACAACCAUAGUCUUUUGUUUCUAUGGAUUUUAUUAUGGAUUGUCAAAUCUCAAGUUCUUUUGAUUCUAUAUUCGUGAUAGUAGAUCAAUUUACUAAGAUGGCACAUUUUAUAUUAUGUACAAAAUCUAUUACACAUAAAAGAAAAAUAGCUAAGAUUUUUUUUGACAAUAUUUCUUUUUAUCUUGAAUUACCAAAGAAUAUUAUAUUAGAUAGGGAGAUACAAUUUGUAUUAAGAUUUUGAAGAAUUCAUUUCAAGAUUUUGAAGGUGGAUAUAAAGUUGUCUUCAAUAUUCUAUCUUCAAACUCAUAGAUGAACCAAGUAAGUGAAGAAAGUUCUAGAGCAAUAUUUGAGAUACACUAUCAACUACCAAUAAGACAAUUGGACAAUUCUUUUGCCACCAAUAGAAUUUACUUAUAAUAAUAUGGUAUAUUCUUUUAUUUAAUAAUUUUAUUUUUAAUUAUAGUUAUUAUCUAUAAUUUGAUACUUUUGACUUUUUUAAAAUUAAUAAUUCUAUGGCAAAAGUUUUUUUGAAUCAUUUAUUAGAGUUGUAUAUAACAAUGAAGGCACAACUUAAAGAAGCAUAAGAUUAAAAAAAAAUCAAUGCAGAUGCUUAUUAUAUGGAAUAACUUCAAUUUUAUAUUGGUAAAAAGAUAUGGUUUCUUUGUCAUAAUAUCAAGACUAUUUACCUUUGUGACAAGUUGGAUUAUUGUAGACUUGAAUUAAUUCCUAUAAGUAAAUAUAUUAUUGCAAUUGCUUACCAAUUAUACUUAUCAAAGUUUAUUAAGAUCUAUCAUGUAUUCUAAGUGUCUCUUCUUGAGCCAUAUAAGACAUUAGAUAUACCAAAAAGACAAAAAAUGCCACAUCAUCUUAUAAAAGUGGAUAAUAAUCAAGAAUAUGAGGUUGAAAAAAUCUUAGAUUCAAGAUAAGACAAAAAUAGGUUAAAAUAAAUUAUUCAUUGGAAUGGAUAUAAUAUUAAUAAAUAUACAUGAAAGCCAACUAAAAAUCUUGUAAAUGUAGCAAAGAAGGUUCAUAUUUUUUUAUUUAUAAUAUCCAUCAAAACCAAGAUAAAGGAUAACAAAUAAUUAUUAUUAAAGAACGUCAAUUCAAAAAAGAUUGCAUUUGAUCUUUUAUCCUUGUUUGUGAUUUUUAUAUAUUUGUGGUACUAAGGAGAUAAAAAAUCAAUAGCUAAUAAAUCAAACUCAAGAUCCAUUAUUUGUUAACUUAAUGAAUAAGAUAUUACAAUUAUUAUAGCCUUCAAUAUGAUAUAAUCGAGAUGAAGACCUUCAAAAAUAACAUGUUCUUUCUUAAAUAAAUGGCCAAAUAUAAUGUAUUUGGUAUUAUGAACUUGAAAGCAACUCUUGAUGUUUGGUGAUUUUAUUGGAGGUAGGAAUUUAAAACUCUUCAUGAUCUUAUAAAUAUUUUGUUUGAAAGAAGUCACAAAGGCAUCAAAAAUGAUCAAAUAAUAGGAUAGUCUUUUUGCCUUGAAAUAGAAUAUUAUUAAUGGUUGAAAAGACUUAUCAACUACCUUCAAAAAAAAAAAAAGAUUAGAAUAUAUAGCAAAUAUAAUUUGCUCCAUCUUAGAGUUCAUCAAAAUGUGAUUACCACUCUUUGUCGAACUUGUCUGAAGAAGAAGGAAGUAAUGUCAUGGAUAUACAUAUUUAUCUAGAUAAGAAGUAGAUUUGAUAUUAUCUUGUAGAAAAUCUUUUUAAAAGCUUCAUAGAUAUAUAUUUGAUUUUAUACAUAUUUAUAGUUGAUUGGUAGGUUGAAAAUUUGGCCAACAAAGUAGCCAUGUAUUAUACAUAUAGAUAGCUUAUGAUACAAACUAAUGAUAUGGCAUACAUAUAGAAAACUUGUCUUAUAAGUUAAGACAUAUGUCUUUCAAAUUAGACAUAUGUUGAAAGUCCUACAAAAUGUUACCAUAUAGCUUCUAAUUGGUAGUAUAUAUAGAGGCAAGAGUGAAGCCUUCUUCACUCUUAUCAAUGCCUUCUAGUCUUUAGUCUUAUUUCAAAACUUUUUAGUCUCUUUGCCUUUCACAAUAGCCAUUCCAAUUUAAUAUUAAAUCAACUUUGAAUGAUUUUGUAGUCUUUUUGAGUGAUAUAAGAGUAUAUUGAUUUUUAAAUCCUUCGAGAUCCAUGUUCAUGAUACAUAUGCUUCCUCAAAUAGAUAGAGAAAUAUAACGUUGUUGUGUUGUGGUUCGGCUAUCAUGUCAAAAUAAUGUGUUUAUAUAUUUAAUACACAAUAUACUAGACAACAUGGUAAAAGCCAUGUCAAUAGAUUUUUGUUGGUUAUAGGAUGUAGAUAGAUUACUACCUCAAAAAGAGGUUGUUUAAAAGGGCUUUUAUUAGAAUUUGUAUAAUUUUAUUUUCUUUUGAUUGUGACUUUUGAAGUUGGUUUUAUUGGUAGUAACUUUAUACAUUUAGAGUCACCUUUGUUAGAUAUUGGUAACCGUUAAAGUUUAUUUUUUGUUCUUUAAUUUGAUGUUUAAAACAUAUAAUAUAUAAAGCCUAUAUGAAAAGGGAUUGAAGAAGGUUUUGGUAGCAAAAAAUGUAAUUAAGGUAUCCAUAUGAAUGAAUGAAGUUGGAUGAUAUAAAUCUCCAUUCUUAUUCGUCAAAAAUCAUGAUCAAUGGGCUUCUAAGACGCUCCCUAAGGCCAUAUUAGAGAUUAGGUUAGUUUUUUGGAGGGAUUUGAAUAUCAAAGGCUAUUGUCAAAAUUUUAGAUUUUGGCUAUGGUUUUGGUACAAAUUUUGAGUCAUUUGGAGUUUUUAUGAAGGAGAUAUAGGCGUUCAAAGUCAAAGUGUUGGUUUUGUAUCUACUUUCACUCUUUUGGAUAUAACGCUGUCGAAGUAGAGAGAGUUGCCUCAAGAAAGUGCUGGGCUUCUGGUUGCCACUAAAUGCUCAAACAAGUCUAAGAUAUAAAGUACCAAGUUUAUAUAUAUAAUAUUUUCUCUUUUAGGGUAAUUACAUCAAAACAUAAGCCAAAGUACCAAGAAAACACCCAAAUGUAUGAUAAGUAUCUUAAAACCUUAUAUAUCCUUAUGAGAGAUGUUUCCCAAAUUUCAAAAGCUCAUAUCUCACGAUCGGAUUGUCCAAAAAAUCCUAAAUUUUUCAUGAACUAUUGAUAUGCUUUCAAAAACUACCACAAAAAUAUUCAAUUGCAAAUUCAUUACGGAUCUUGAGAUAUCACUAAAAUCCUAACAGUAGCUUUAAACCCUAGCUUAAAUAUACUCAUGUACUAAUUUCUUCAUAUCUCAUAAAAUAAGUAUUAAAAUACCAUGAAACUUUGAUCUAUAACUUUUUAACUUAAUAACUCACACUUGUGGAAAUUUUGAGCCAAAAAUUCAUCUAAAAACUCAAGAUAUGGCUCCAAACAUUACUAUCAACAAAAUGACUCACUUACUACCUUUGAAUUACAUGUGCUAUCUUCAAUGCCCUAUAACUCCUUCAUCUAGACUUAGAAUUUGUAAAACAGUAUAUGUAAAGUAUAGCCAAGAAAGUUUACUUUUCAACUCUAAUCGCCGAACUUUCAUUGCUCUCCGUACGCAUAUGUUAUGCUUCAAAGAGUGACAGUAGGUAAAAAUUUGACACCUUAACUUUGAACACCUAUAUCUCCUUCAAAAAUAACUUGAAAUCACACAAACUCUUUACACAAAUUAUACCCAAAAUGCUGAACUUGCUGAUCUUAGCCUCCAAAGCUCGAAUGACUUCGAAAGAGAAACCCUAAUCCCUAAUAAGGCCUUGGGCAGCCUCCUUGAAGGCCAUUGGGCAUGGCCUUCGACCAAUAGGAAUGAAGAUCCCCAUUCCUUGCCUUUAUCCAACCAUGCCUUGCUUUCAUCCCUUCUAAUAAGCCUCCUACUAAUUAAGAUUUUCUUCUUUAGACUCUAAUCUCCUCUCAAGGCUUUAUACUAAACAUUUAGGUCUUAUGAUUUUUUUUUUAAAUGCUAUAAUCAAAAAAGAUAAAACUCAAAAUAAAAUUUCUUAAAUCCACUCUUUUUAAAUUAAUCUAUUUAACCAUUCUAAUAUACACCAAGACUUAUGAAUAUAUUAUAUAUUCUAAUUAAUUUUUACAUACUAUAAGCUUUUACUAUAUGACAACGCACAUAUAAAAAAAGUAACAAAGGUUCAACAAUUGGGAUUGGAGACAUCACUUUCUUGGCUAUACUUUAUAUAUAGUGCUUGAUAAAUUCUAAGUUGAAAUAUAGGAGAUAUUGGAAGUUGAAGUCAAUACUUAGAAUCUAAAGAGUAGUAAGUGAUCCAAAUUGCUAGUGGUUGUGUUUUGAGGUAUAUCUUUGACAAGAUUUUGGCUAAAAAUUUCUAAAAAUAUGUAUUUUCAUGUAAUUAAACUUUAUACAUAACUUUUGUGGCAUUUAAAUUUUGGGUUUGUGAGAUAUGAAGAAAAUAGUACCUAGGUGCUUGUGAAUUAGGAUUUUACAACACCUGCUAGGAUUUUUGAGAUUGCAUUUGAUUGGUAAUUAAUUUAUAUUUAAUUUUUUUUGUGGUAAUGCUUAAAGAUAAAUGCUAUAUUAUUUAUAAAUUUGAAAAUACCUAAAGGAUUGGAUCAAGAGAUAUGAAUUUCUAAAGCUUGGAAAGAAAAAUUUCUUUGUAAAAAAAAUAUGCUUUGAAAAGAUUUUAUUAUAAUUUGAGCAUUUUAUACAAAGUGAAGGGAUUUUUGAAAGUCAAGACUUUAUAUAUAUGUUGAAGAUGGAUAUAUGGAGUUAUGGUUAAAUUUUGAUAUAAAUAUGAGCUUUUGAGAGGAGAUUAUGGAUUUUUUUUGAAAUUAUUGAAAAUCUAAUUUACUAGCAAAUGAUUAGUUAUGAUUUGGUAUAGCCAAGAAUGUUAGAGAAUUUCUAAAUAUUUUAGAAAGUGUUAUGUAUAAAUCUUCUUAAAUAUAUAAGGUUUUACUAAUAUGAUAUCUUUUUGAUAUUAUUGUGUUUAUUUAUCUUUUACUUUAAAGGUUAAAUUACUUAUUGGAGCUUUGUCAAUAAGUUAAAACUAAACUUUCUACAACUAGGUACCCAAUGUAUUCCUAGAUAGAAAAUUAUGCAAUACAAUAUCGUGUUUGUUAUCACAACCUUGGAAGAGACUUCUGAUGCUUAGUGAUAUUAUUAGAGAUAAGAACCACCUCCAACAAUGUUUCAAAUGUUUUAUUAUAAGAGAGUUAUAAAGACCUCAACAAUGAUCAAAUAAUAAGGUGGUCUUCUUACUUUGAUAUAAGAUACUAUCAAUAGCUAAGAGGACCUAUCAACCACCUUCAAAUAAAACAAAGAUUAGAAUAUAUGGCAAAUAUAAUUGACAACAUCUUAAACUUUGUUAAUAUAUGAUGGCUACUUCUCAUAGAAUUCAUUCUUAGAAGGGAGGUUAAUAUCAUAGACAUAUAUAUUUAUCUAAAUAAGAAGUAUUAAAUAAAAAAUAAAUAUAAAUAAAUUUAAUAUUAUCUUAUGACAAAGCUUCAUAAAUACAUAUAUAAAUAUAUAUAAAUAUAUAUAAAUAUAUUUAUAGUUGAUUAGUAGGUUGGAAACUUGGCCAACAAAUUAGGCAUGUAUCACACAUGCUGGUAGCUUGUAGAAUAAGUUAAUUAUGUGGUGUACAUAUUAAAAACUUGUCUUAUAAGUUAAAAUAUGUCUUGCAAGUUGGACAUGUGUCAAAGGUCCUAUAGAAUAUUGUCACGUAGCUUCUAGUUAGAUAGUAUAUAUAGAAGCAAAAAAAAUGCUUUCUUCACUCUUGCCAAUGUUUUUUUAGUUUUUGGUCUUGUUUCAACACUUUCUAGUCUUCUUGUCUUUUGCAAUAGCAUUUUCAAUUUCAAUAUUAUAUUAAUUUUGAAUGAAUAUCUAUUCUUUUUGAGUUACAUAAGUGUAUAUUGAGUUUUUGGUUCUUUGAAACUCAUAUCCUUGACACAAACAUACUAUAAAGUCAAGUAAAAAUUGAAUUAAUUUAUAGUAUGACAUUAAGCUACUUGAGACUUUGAAGUUGGAGCAUGUGUUUCAUGUUGAGGCAUGUUUGAUUAAAAAAUCAAUUGAUUUAGAUUCAUUUGAAGUCAAAUAUUUGGAUCAGUUACAUGCAUCUUUUUUUGGCUAUUUAGCUUUUAAUUACACUUAUUACAACAGUUAUUGUAAGUAAAUUUAUAUCAUAUUUUUUAUGCCUUAGAUUAGAAGAACUAAAAUAUUUUUAAAUAAAUUAUCAUAUUUAUAAUUAAAAUUUUUUAUGAUUAUAAAAUUAUUAUUAUAAAUUUAGAUAUUUUAGCUAAUCUAUCUCUUUUAUUUGAAAUAUAUAUUUUAUUAUUUUGUAAAAAUAAACACAAAUUAAUAUUUCAAAUACUAUAUAAUUUUAAGAAAAAACUUGUGAAUUUACAUCAAAUUAUAAAUAUAUUAAAGAUAAAUUUUAAUUUAUGUAAUAAAAAGAUAUCUUUUAAAUAUAUAUUAUUUGUUUUAUUAGAUCAUAAUUUUUUAGAAAUUCAUAAUAUAAAAUAUUUUUAAAAAAUAAAAUAUUAUAUUUACUAAUUAUCUAUAAUAAUAUUUUGAUUAAAAAAUUUUAAUUCUAAUUAUUUACAAUAUAUUUUUUUAAUUUUCUAUAUUAGAUCUUUUUUUAUAUGUAUAUACAUUUUCUUUACAAUAGUACAUAGCUACUUUAUUAAUAUACAAAAAAACUUUUUAAAUAUCUAUGAUUAUAUUAUAUGUUUUUAUAACUCUUAGCAUCAAAUAAACAUGUUUUCAAUAUUAUUUGGGAUAUCUAAACAUAUUAAGUUGAAUCCUUAGGUGUUGAUUUUUUUAGAUUAAGUAUUAUAAUUCUUACAUUCUAUCUUUAAUUUUUAAUCAUUAAUAUAAGUAAUCUUUUAAUAUAAAAAAAUAAAAAAAGAAAGAAAGAAAGAAUAUAUAUAUAUAUAUAUAUAUAUACAUACACAUAUAUUUUGCUUUGGUUUUAAUAGAAAUUUAAUUAUACAUGUCUUUUUUAGUAAUCCAUUUAUAAUAUAAAUUAUACUAUUAAUUUAUUCUAGAUGUGUUAUACUAAGCUUUAUGGUAUAAAAUAUAACUUUAAAAAUAUAAAAUUAAAUAAUUUCUUUUUUAAAAAUAUUAAUUCAUUGAUUUAAAAUUAUAUCUAUUUAUAUAUUUUAUUAUAUAUUAGAUUCUUAUAUCUAAAUUUUUUAUAUUAUAAUAUUAAAUUAUUCAAUUAAUAAUAAAAAAAUUAAUUUUUAAUUUAAUUUAUUUAAAUAUGAUAUUUAAAAAAAUGAAUAAGAAUUUAAAUUUCACAAUAAUUUUAGUUUUAAAAAAUUAUAAAAAAUAGAAUUUACAUUAUUUUCUAUGUUCCUAAUGAAUAAAAUAAAAAUUAUUCUAAACAAAUUUGAGUGUGAAGAUAUUUAUAUGCUUUACAUAAGAAAAUAGAUACUUAAAAUUUAUAUCUUUAAAAAAUGAAUAUAGACUAGAUAUCAAAAUCCAAAAAUUCUAUGGUUAUAAAUCUUAUUUAUAUCAUUUUAGAAUAUAAUUCAUUUAAAAAACAUAAAGAAUUAAAGAAAGAUAGAAAAAAAAUGUAUUAUUAAAAUUAAAAACUGAUGUACAAUCUUUAAUAUUGAAAAAUCUAAGACACAUUGAUACAAGUCUAGUAUUAGUUGCUUGUACCGAAAAAAUUGAUAACUUAGUAUAACACUUUAAAUUUAUUAUGUUAAUUUUGAAAUUUAAAUAUUUAUUAGAAAUUAAAAUUACAAUAGACCUUUGAAAAAUAUGCAAAGAAUGAGAAUAUAUAAAUAUUUAAGAUAAAACCUAAUAAUUAAAAAACAACCUAAUAUUAAAAUAAAAAUAAGUUAGUAUUAGAAUCCUAUAUAAAUAUAUAAUUUUAAAUAAUAUAAUAUAAGAUAAUAUCAAAUUAGAACUAUUUUUUUGUAAACAUUAUUAAAUAGAUGUUUUGGAAGUUGUCUUGAUAUUUUUAUUUGCACUAAAUUAUGUCUAGUUAUUAUAUAUAAUAACACACUUAAAGCUGAAAUGUAAGGGUUUGUAAGUUAUUAUGAUAUUAUUAUUUGUUUUUUAAGGAGUAUGUUUAUUUAAGUCCAAUUUAUAUAUUUGCUAGUAAAACAAGAUUACAUGGUAGAUGAAACAAUUGUACUAAAAAAUAUAUAUUAAUAAAAUUUUUAAAAUUAAAUCAUGAUUUAAGUAUACAAUCAAAAUAUUUAAUACUAAAGAUAUAAAUCAAGAAGUAAAUUAAGAUAGUAUAUGAUCAAUUAAAGUCUCUAAAUAGAUUGUAUUAAUACAUUGAUUAAUGAAAAUGGUUAAGUUUACCUUGCAAGUAGCAAUUAAUAAUAGGUAAGUCCUAGAAAUAGGCUAGGAUAAUGAAUAGUAAAAAAAAUGAAAUUUAUCUUAGUAUUAAGUAAGAAAAUGACUAUUACAAUAAAAAUAUAAUUAUUCUAAGUAGAUUAGAAACUACCAAAGAGAUCUAUAACCUAUGUUACUAUGCAUUGGUAGAUCAUUUCUUAAACUUAAAUAGAAGAUACUAAAAAAAAUUACAAAUUAUAUCUUAGAUAUUUAUAUACCUAAUAAAAAAUAAGAAUUUAUUUAAACAUUUCCUAUGAUAUAAUCUUAUAAGAAUAAAAAAAAUGAUAUAGUUGUUGAUAAAUAAGCAUCUAAAAAAAUAUAAUAUUAAUAAAAUGAUAGAGUAUACAAAUAACUUAAAGAAUUUAUUUUAAUUAUAAAAGAAUAAUUGAUAAGUAAAUAGACGUUGCAAAAAAAAAAAAAUUAAAAAAAUUUAAAAAAAAAAGAAAAGAAAAAAUAAAAAAAGGAAAAAAAAAAGGAAAAAAAAUCAAUUGUAAGCGCAAUUGAUCUAAAGCACAAGAAGCAACAAGAUGAAUUAUGAGUUGAGAGAUAGGGGAUCUUAUUCUUCCAAUUUUUUGGUAACUUGAUUUUAAUUAAAAGAACAUAAAAUUAUUUAAGAAUUUAAUAAUAAUUAUUAUUAUAAUAUUUUAAUUCUAUUGAUAUUAUUAUUUAUAUUUUUAUUUAAAUUUAAUUACAAACACUUCAGUAUCUCUAAAUUUAAAAAAAAACCAAAAAAUAAGAAAUCCUUGAAUAUCUUAAAGACAUACAUAAAGUUAAUUAUAUUUACUUAAUUUUAAUUAUUGAUGUAUAAAUUAUAUUUUAAGAAGUUAUUGUAGAGCAAUGCUCUUAAAACAAUUCUAAGACUACCAAAAGUAAUAUCAAAGUUUGAUCUUUUAUAUUAGACAUAAGAGUAUUUUUUUUUUCUUAAAGUUUUUAAAAAUCCACAUUUAAAAAAAAAUUAAGACUCUUUUUAUUAUUUUAUUAUUUUUAUCUUAUUUUAUUAAUUUUUAUUUAAUUAUACAUCAUUUAAAACGUAUUUUUUUAUGGAAGUUUUUAUAUUUGUAGCAAAGCUAGCAAACAAGAAAAUUAUUAAAACUUGAAUAUGAAUAAAAGAUCGAAAAAUUAUUAUUACUAAAGCAUAAAUGUUUGAGACUACCACACAAAAAAAAUAAAAAAUAAAAAAUAAAAAAUAAGGUUGAUUGAUACAAAGAUUUAUAGCCACUAAAACUAUAUUUAUCCAAGUUCAAUAUCUUCAGUUUGAUUUUUCAUAACAUUAUAUGCUAGACUUGCAUUAUCUUAAAUUUUAUCAAACUUAUAAUAAUAUGAAUCUAAAUUGAACAAUAUAUUAAAUUAUAUCAAAUGCAAUUUAUAUAGAUUAUAAUUAUAGUCUUGAUUUAUAUACACAGUAUAUAGAUAUGCACAUGUAAAAAAAAAAAGAAGAACAUUAAACUAAGAUCUCUCAUUAAAAUAAAAUAACUUGUGUUUGUAUCUAUUUUUGUAAUGUUAAUAGCUUACAAUCAAUGUUAAAUAAGAUUGUAAUACAUUAAAUAAGGAGAAAUGUUAUUUUGAUGCUUAAUUUCUAAAGUAUUGUUUUAAUAUUCCAAAUUAAUUGAAUAAUUCAACAGUCUUUUUUAAUUCAUUACAGAAUUUACAUCUAAGGAGUACAACAUGAUUAUCUAUUAGUGAUUUGUGUUUCUAACUGUAACAAGACAGUAAUUUUGUAAUUGGUACUUUCCGUCUUUAGUUAGCGUCUAGUCACACACACAAUUGGAAUUCGGAAUUUUUUGUUUUUUGUCUUCUUCAAUCAGAGUGCUGAUAUUCACAACAAGUGAAAGAACCCCACAAAACUCUUAACAUUUCAAUCAUCCAGUUUAGAGUGUUAGAUAUUGGGGGUUUUGUUGGAUGCAAAGUUAGUAUGUGGUUUUUUUCACUCCUGCCAUCACGACAGGAUGUGCAACAGGGAUGUUCACUCCAGCAGGAAAUAGAAUAAGCGACAACAAAAACUUGUGGUACACGACAAUCAUAAAUCCAUGCGAUUGCUCUUGAUGUGAGUGACCUAACAACAAGACCCAGAGACAUCCUGCUUACUUGUGCAAAGAUUACAAAGCAGCUCUUCAGAACCAUGGCACUUCAAGACUUUCGAAAACUCUGAAUCCACGACCUUAAUCUGCACUAAAUUGGCACUCUUCAUGUAGGCACGGCUGUGAGAACGAGCUGCAAGAUCAACACCAUCCAUCUAAAAUUUUAUGGUACCCUUUGGCUUGUAUGAGUAUGCUUCAUAGUUGAUAUUCUUUUGGCCUAGGACACUCAACCUUGUGAAUGUCGUAAUCAGAUCCACCUGCCACAUACGACGUAUGAAAUGAAUAUCCACUGCUUAUAUCGCAUGAAACGAUCGAAAUGCCAUUGUUGUCCACGCCAGUCAGCAAAUCUGCACUGUAGACUGCAUUGUGCUAGCCCCUCAGAGCAGAGCUGGUAUGAAUCUCACCUCAUAGUCAGUCUGUGAGACAGUUUCCCUGCUUUCUUGGUACUUUUUCACCCAUGGUGCAAACUCAGGAUCGGUGGCCAACUUGGCUUCUGUAGCAGACUGGUCAGGCCCUAAGAAAGCUGAUAAGACAGCAAUCUGCACAUAUAGACGCGGUGUUAUGCUGCAUUAGUAAGACUUCACAUGGAAGGAAUGAGCUUCUACGCUCAAUUGAAGCGAAAUGUGGUGAAAAUUGUGAGUUGCACACCAACUGACCUGUCUCGGCUUGAUGCCCAGUUCAGCGAACCUAUCUUUGAUCUCGGUGGUAGAGGCAGUCUCCCAUGCAAGGACCCUGCCUUCAGGGUCAGCCUCUGAAGCAUCAGCUCGGCCCAGCAGCUUGUCAAACUGACCCCACUGCAUUGCAACAUGAAAAGAUCGAUUACAUUAAUCAACUCAGAUUGCGGGAGUAUCAAAGCAGUGCAUUACAGCAGCUGGAAAUGAAGGUAACGUUAGCAUCCAACCUGCCCAGUCGAGCCAUAAGCGGUGUACAACUGCUCCCCUUUCUUUUGGUCACCACCGCACUUGCGAACGGCUGCUUGGAUGAACGUGCGCUUUACAGCAGAUUGAGCUGUACAUUAUCCAGCAAUAAAUUAUUGGCAACAGAUCGCUCCACUCACCUCCAGCAACGAACAAAUUCAAAUUCAAAUUUUCACAUACGUCGGUCAAUAUCGAAAUGUACCCCCCAAUCAGAGAAGAAAGGAUCGAAAUGUAGGAUUCUAGGAACACAUACCAGCAAUCGAAAUAAGGUCCGCAUACGAAAUGGGGCCGCCCAAGGUCACAGCUGCUUCAUCUAUAGUUUUCUUGAUAUUUUCCAGGAAGCUGAGUGCCCUUUCCAGCCCUUUAUUCUCUGGCCUGUUCAGCUCUGUGCUGCACUUCAACAAAAUCAGACUGGAAGGCAGCAUCCUAAGCACUUUUUGCAAGAUAUGAAUAGAUCGUCCCUACAACAUCGAACGCUCUGAUAAGGCAACGUUGGACGCAUACCAUAACGCACCGAUCCAUUAGCUCCACCACUCUUCGAAUCCUGUGUAAGAAAGGCAUAAGUUUAUAAUUUCCUCAGCUGGAUGAAAAAAGGAAGAGUUUUGAACAUUUUUAAAUACAAAACGAAUUCAAUGCACGAAAAAAUAGAGAAAGAGGACAAACUGUAAGCAAGCGCAGAGGCCAACCUUGUCGUAAGUCAAGGCGUCAUUAAGCGCUAACUUGAGAAGAUCUGGAAUAUACUCCGGGUUUGCCUGAAAUGCGUAAGGUACAAUAUUGAACUGGCUAACCAUGCUGAGGAACACAAUGUGCGAGAAAUCAUGCAAGACAAAACCUCCUCUUUCAACGGUAGGCAAAAGGUGUAAGUCGAUAGGUUAAGAGGAGAAGACAUACAGCUAUCUCCACUCUGAGUUUAUCCUUCACGUUCGCUUCAUGCACGCCACGCAGUGGAUUCAAUUUAGACAAGAAUACAUCCACUCCUCACUUGCCAUCAAAUUAUGUACAUCCAGCAAAAUGCGGUACUGCAUGAUUAAAAGUGAAGAUAAACACAGUUCAAGGCUUCGAAUGAGACUCACUGAGGAAAAUGCCGCGCUGCUGCCUUUGAAUAAUGUCAGCAGCCUGUGCUUCGUCACCUCCAGCAACCGAAGUCCACACUCCACCCUGCCAAAUUCAUUUGAACCUAACCGACUCAUUAUUCGUACCCUAUAUUUUCAAAAAAAAGAGUCCUCAUUCAAGGUCUACUGUCAAUGGCGGAGACGAGAAUCUAAAAACAGUCAUCGUAAAGUUCAUGUCCUCGAGGCGCUUCUGAUAGCCGAAGGGCAACAUUGUUGGGGUGUAAUGAAUCACUUACUGCUGCCACUGAAGCAGAGAGACCAACGAAGACCUCUCUUCGGCCCACUGCCACUUCGUCUUUGUCACAUGCAUGGCACCUCACUCCGACCUAUUCAAAAGCACAGAACCAAAACAACGGAACUUGCAUGUUUCAACCAUGCUUCGCAAAAUGGCUCCUAGACAAUAUUCAGUCAAAAUCAGCACCCUUACUACACAAGCCGGGUCAUUAAUCUUGAGUUCGAAUGAUACAUGCCAAUGAGUAGAUAUGGAAGAACUCCAAAAAGGUUACAGGGCGUGGUUGCACACUUCUACUUCCACAGGGACAAUAUUUCAGACCCUAGAAUCGCUUGUAAUGCCUUAGUACAAUGAAACCACAUUUUCAUGGAAAUUCAAAAGAAACCAUCUACAAAUCAAAAUCAACCCCUCACCCACAGUGUAGUUGGUAAGUCUACCGUCAAUUUCCAAGUGGCGAUUACCUUGGUUGUAGUUGCCGGGUUAGUAGCUCGUGGCGGCACUGAAACGGCAGCAUUCCCACACACGAAUGGGGACGACGCCACAUUUGAGGAGAAGGAGCUUGCCAGUGAAGGAGCACUCAAGGCGCGCGUCAUGGACACCGCCGCCAUAGCUUCCACUGCUACCCACACAGCCCAAUCCCACAACCAUCUCAGCCCACUUCCCCACCGACGCGCGCAAGCACAACUUCAACCAUUUCAAACAUUUCAACAAAUCAAAACCACUCUCCACACGUAUGCCCUCUGCCCACUCCGAACAUCCGACUGACCCACAUUGCCCUCCUCACGAUUACUUGUGAGGAUUAUGCAGUAAAAUUCAUAGAAAGUAAGGGAGCAUGAGCCAUUGCAUGUAAUACAAGAGACGGUAACUCUCACCAAAACUUGAUGGGCCUGAUUUGUGUGAUCAAGGUGGUGAUGUUCCAGGAUGUGACAAGAGAGCUCUGGUUAGAAUGGCGAUGACUGAGGGCGAGCAAGGAGUUGGGUUAGCAUCACCAGUUGCGAGCCUUAUCCUGAAGUUAGAGUGGCAGUGUCCAAGUGUACAGCCAGCCUCUCAAUACUCUCUUCGGGAGAACGUGGACGUUGCUACACCAGAUCCCCAGCUUCUGAUAUUUGGGUUUGCUGUUUUAGAGCAUCAAAAUUCGCUAAAACUGUAAAUUCAUUCUCCCAUGUAUGUGUAUAUACAUACAUAUACAUAAUUGUCUGUCUUUGUAUAUGUAUAUAAUGCAGAGAAUUCUGGUGCUUUGUAACAAUUCAAUUAGAAUGUUAUAUUAUUUCAUGGUAAUAUUAACUUUUUUUGUGUUUAUAUUCAACAGAUUAGCAAUGAAUAUUUAACAUUGUUUGAAAAUAAGGUUGGCAUCGAUAGAUGAACAACUUCAACUCACGUUUUAUAAAUCAAAAUCAGCAUUUUUUCACGUUAAAAGUGUCAUUUGUUCUUAUCAUAAUUACUACAAUAUUUGUAUUUUAUAGAUAUGUGUAGUGGCUUAUAAUGCUUCUCCAAAGCACUGUAUGAUGUUGUAGAUAAAUCUAAUUGCAUUGUUAAUUUAAUGGAAUAAAUAGUAAUCUACCCUGAAUAGAGCAUUAAUUUUUGAAAAAAUCAGAUAUUACAACUUGAUUGUAUUUUUUAAUCUACUGUGAUGUUAAUGGCAUGAAACUUAUGCAUUGAUUACAUGAAGCUAGAUAUUCUUAUCACAUAUUCUAUUUUAAAAAUUGUUAUUUCUAAGAACAAAAAGACUAUAAAGUUUUAAAUAAAUCUAAGGUUUGAAACAAUUUAAUAAAAUUAAAAAUGGUGUUAGUUUUAAAAGAGAUAAGCACAUUAGAUUUUUUUAAAUUUUUUUGUUUUUUUUUUCGUUACACUUAGUAACUUUAUGCAUCAAUUUUAUCAUGGUCUGACCUAUUUUAAAAUCCUAAAUAGAAAUAAAUUCUAAAGUUGUAAUAAAACGUGUAUAAAAAUUUGGCAAGUUCAUUUACAAUGUCAUUACUUCAUUUACUUCUAAAAGAAGAAGAUCCACAAUUAUAAGUUAAUUGGCAUGUAUUUUCUUCUUAUUAAUAUAAGCUAAUAUGUCUUUACCUUCUUUUAUUUUAAAUGUAAAGAAAUUUCAUAAAUAAUAAUGAUUUUGGACAAAAUUUCUUAUAUUAUCUUCUUAAGUAGUAAUAAUUUUAUUUACUUCCACUAAUAUAUUCAAGCUCAAAAAAUUAAAAGAUGUGUUUACAAAUAUAUAUAUAUGUAUAUAUAUAUAUAUAUAUAUAUUUUUUACUUACAAGCAUCUUUAAAUAUUUACAAACAUUUUUAUGCUCUAAAAUCUCUACUUCAUAAUUUCAGGUAAUAUUAUUAGAAAUUUUAGAUUCUUGAUUGAAUUGUUUGAAAUUUUGCAUCAUUUUUAUACCCUUAAUUAGCUCUACAUCUAGUUUGUGUAUUAAUCCUCAACAAUGAAUUGGUGAUAAUCAAAAUAUUGUUAUAAGUAUUGAUAUACUCUAGAAUAGUUAGUAGGUUAAUAUAAAGAGAAUUGAUGUAAGAAAAUUUAUUUUGAGGUUUAUCUAGGUUGAUUAUAAAGUUUAAAAUAUAUAAGAUUUGGAUAUUUAGUAUAAAAUUUAAAGAGAAGAUUGGGGCUCAAAGAUGAAGAUUCAAACCUCUAAGAAGCUUAUUUGGAAGGAUGAAAGUAAGGUAUGGAUUGAUAAAGGCUAAAGAUAAAAAUCUUCAUCCUUAUUGGUCGAAUGCUAUGCCUAAUAGGCAUUCAAUAACCUAUCUGCAACCAUAACAAGGGUUUCGGAAAUUUUAAAAAGAUAAUUUUAAAAUCAAAAGUAAGAAUUUCAAGGUUUAGGAUUUGGACUACAAUUUGUAUGCAAAUUUUAGAAGAUUUGGAGUAAAGAUGAUGAAGUUAAGGUAUCUUUUUAAGACAUAUUGCUGCUCUUUUGAGAAUAGAAGGAGUUUUAUAAUAGAUUUUGGAGAUUGAGAGAUUCGGCCACAAGGAUGAUUUUAAGAUCUACACCUAUUGUGGAGGAAUUUCUGCAUUUGAAAUUUUUAUGAAUAAAUUAUAGAGCGUCAAAGAAGCACAUGUAAUUCAAAGGCAAUAAGUGAGUCAUUUUAUUGAUAGUAAUGGUUGGAGCCAUAUUUUCAAUUUUUGGAUGAAUUUUUGGCUCAAAAUUUCUAGAAGUGUAUAUUAUUAGAUUAAGAAGCUAUAUAUCAAAAUUUUAUGGUAUUUGAAUACUUAGUUUGUGAAAUAUAAAGAAAAUUGCACACAAGUAUAUGUAAAAAAGGGUUUGAAGUUAUUGUUAGGAUUUUGGCAAUAUUUCAAGAUUCGUAACAAAUUUGCAAUUGAAAUUUGUUUUGAUAGUUGUUAAAAGUAUAUUAAUACUUCAUAUAAAUUUUUGGUUUGUUUGGAUGGUUCCAUUGUGAGAUAUGAGUUGUUGAAGUUUGAAAAAAAUUCACCUUAAGAAUAUACAAGGUUUUAUAAUAUUCUUAUCACAUUUUUGGUGACCUUUAGUAUUUAGGGUUUAUGUAUUGAUGUAAUUGCUCCUAUAAGAAAAAAAAAUUAUAUAUAGACUCGGUGUUUUUUUAAUCUAGAGGCUUGGUUGAGCAAUUAGUGACAGCUAGAAUCCGAGCACUUUCUUAAGACAAAUUCUCUCUACCACAACACCGACUCAUUAAUAAAUCAAAAAAAUAAUACAAGCUCUUUGAAUCAAGAUACCAUACGCUUUGGCAAUCACUACUCUAACUGCAAAUCUAAACUUAUCCUAAAGUAUAAGUCAAAUAGAUGGAAGAAAGUAUACUGCAAAAAUAAAAUAAAAUAAAAUAAAAUAAAUUAUAAGAGGUUUUAAUUGUAUUUCAAAUAUUGAUCUUGAUCUAGACAUGAAACAAUGACAUCAAAUAAUCAGAAAGCAUUCAAAGCAAAUUAAUCCACAAAAGACCACAAUGGAGUAGUAUACUUGUCCACUGCAUAGAAUAGAAACAAUUCUAUCUAUACCCAAUUCAAAUCCUGCUUCCAGUCCAUGCUCAAUUACUACUUGAUUUAUUCUUGUAGUAUCAACGAUAAUAGACCCACUAGUUACAAAUCUAAAAGCUGAAAGAACCAUAGAUGGAAUUUCUUUUACGUUACAUGGCUAAAAUAAAGUCUUUCAAUAUAAUAACCAUAGUCGGCCAAAAGCCAUCUUGGCAAAGCAUAUAAAUAAAAAUAUUCUACUACCAAUUGUUAUAAUUGCUAUAAUGGAACAAUUAGCACAUGUAAACUUGAAAGAAGUCCAUACAAAUUUACUUCAUUUUCAUCCCAGCUUCUUAAGAUAUCCAUUUGAAGUACAAAUUCAAUUAUCAAAUAAAAUCUACUAAAGGCCAUUAAUCAAGGAUUCUUCACUCUCUAACCUAAAAAGCUUAUAGAACACAAGCUUCUAUACAAAUAAAACAUCUUUGUGGUCUCUUCUUAAGAAUGCAAUAUAUUUCUUCAAGGCCACCAAUCAUCUUGUGGUACUUUAGCUAGUUUGAGAAGUACCUAUGAAAUAAAUAAAAUAUGGUUAUAGUAUUUAAGAUGUCAGAGUUGACAAAGACGAGAUAUACAUAUGAGUUGCAUUCUACCUCCAACAUUUGGUUCAAACAUUAAGUCAAUGUAGAUGUGAUUAGACAAUAUGGAUAAGACUAUGAAAAGCUACUAAAAGAGACUUGACUAUUUUCAAUGUAUAUGCUUGAAUACUCAGUUCAAAAUAUUGCUCCUUAUGGAUAGAACUAUUAUCUUCACUCCUAUGUAAUUGUUGAUAUGUCAUAUGUGGAUACUAAAACUUUCUCGAGCAAAGGUAAGAUAAAUCCUCACCUUAUAAAAAGGUGAUUUUAAAAGGAAAAAAAAACUUAUUUGUAGUACUAAAUAUUAAGAAGAACUUUUUUAUUACCAAUAGAGUGUAGUACUCUUAAAAUAAUAGGAAACAAGGACAGACCCAAGUAAUUGCAAGGUUAGAUAUGAUAUAUAUUUUCAAAGCACUUGAAGCAGAAGUCAAUGUGAUCAUUGAAUAUAUUAUUAAAAGAAAUUAUAUGCUUAUAAAUUAUUAGUUUAUGAAUAAUAUUCUAUAAUUAGUAAGUAAGCCACAUCAAAUCUCUACAUAUAAAAUAAAUAUUGUAUAUCUUAUAGAUCUUAAAGUUUAUACUAAAGUAAUCUAAAUAUAAACAUCUAACUCUAGCCAUGACUUCAUACAAAAAUUGUGGAUAGUUGUCAAGUUCUAUUAAGGAUACAAGAUUAAAAAAAUUAUGUAGUAUUGUUAUAUAGAGGUGCAUUAGCAAAAAUACGUAGAUUAUGCUUUGAUCGAGUUUCAAAUCAACUUGAAAAAAAUAGUCCUUUAAGAUUGACCAGCAGAAGCAAUAAAAAACUUACAAUUAUUUGAAUAAUGCAAAGCUGAGGGCUUUUGGAUUCAAAGCUAAGUAAAAUGGUGCUAAGCUAUUAUCAAAAUAAUAUUUUUGUAUAAAUAUGGAGUGAUCAGAUUAUAUUGCCAUUAUUAUACUGAAAAAUAAUAUAAAGUUAUUAGUAACAGAUUAAUCUUCACUAGAAGAAGUAUGCUUGUGGUUUUAAAUAGACAUAUAUGCUAUAGCAUCUCCAUCUCCUAAUAAAGUGAGAACUAUAAUGCAUAUCCUAGAUAGCAUGAAUGACAAGCUAAUUGAUAAUAUGAAGUCUGUUCUUACAACUCCAAUCUCCAUACUUGAAUUAGAUAAGGCCUUACAAGAGAUGACAAUAGAAAAAGCUUUAGGACUAGAUAGGAUGAUCAUAGAAUUUUUCAUCCAAUUUUGAGAUGUUAGUAAAAUAGACUACUUGGAGAUGCUAAAAGAAGCUAAAAGAUAUUGUCAUUUUCUUCUUGUAAUUACUUGUGGCCUCAUUUUUUUAUUAUUAAAAAGUAAAAUUAAAUCUUAAUUUAUAAAUUAGAUACUUAUUAAAUUUUUAAAUGAUACUUAUAAGGUAUAUGCCAAGGUACUCUAAACACAUUUAUAACCAAUUCUUAUAGAAAUCAUCUUAUUUGAUCAGUCUAUCUUUUUAUCCAUGAAGUUCAUUUUAGAAAAUAUUUUUCUUAUCUAUAAAAUCAUGGACUAAGCAAAACAUUCUAAAUAGUCAUUUUUUUUUCAAACUAGACUUUUUAGAGACCAAUAAUAUGAUAGAUUAGUCAUUAUUUUUUCAAGCCAAAGAAAGAUUUGGGAUUCUACUUGAAUUUGUAGAGAUAAUGAAGCUUCAUUUUGUUGAUGCUUUAGCAAAUAUAAAGAUAAAUAGAUCUUAAUUUCUAUCCUUUUUUAUAGCUAAAAAGAUGCAAAAAAGCUCCCCUCUUAUCUCUUAUCUUUUCUUAAUCAUUGCCAAAAUUUUCAACUGUGUUCUAAAAAAAAGAAUAAAAGAUGGAAUAGUCAAAAGAAUAGUACUUCUAAUUACAAGUAGACAAUAAAUUAUUUUUCAAUAUAUAGAUGAUACCUCCUUUAUACUUCUUGAAGAAAAAACUCUAAUAAAAAAAUUAUUAUAUUUUUAAAAUAUUUUUAUUUUAAUUUUGGAUAAGUCUUGAAUUCGAUUAAAUCAUGUAACUAUUUGUCAAGGACAUGAACUAAAAUAUGAUGCAUAAACCAAUAAAAUCCGUAUCAAAAAAAGAGUAACAAAAUAGAAAUAAAGAAGUAUGUAUACUAAAAAGAAACUGGAAUAGCUUAUUGCUAAAAGAGAAGAAAACUUAAGACUCUUGAAACUAGACUAGAAGCAAGAAAGGAGUUGAUAAGAGUGAAGAAGGCUUCACUCUUGUCUCUAUAUAUACUAUCUAACUUGGGGAUAUGUGGCAAUAUUCUAUAGGACUUCUAAUAUGUAUUGACUUUGUAAGAUACAUAUCUUGACUUAAAAAAUAAGUUUUUUUAUAUGUGGAUCAUAUAAUUAGCUUGGUCUUCAAGCUAACAACAUGUGUGGCAUAUGGCCAACUUGUUGACCACUUUUUUAAUCCAAAAAGUCAAUUACAAACACCUGUAAAGUGAAAGCAAUGUCUAUGAAGCUUCUAAGAAGCUAUUAUAGAAGAUAUUAUAAAAUUAACUUAUUUUUACUUACUUCUAUUUACUUCUAUCUAUUUAUACAGGUAAUUACUAGCUUAUAUGUGUAUGUCAUGACAUUAUUCUCCCUUCUAUGAACAAGUUCCAUGAAGAGCAGUCAUCAUAUGUUGCAGAAAUCUAUGAUGCGAUGAAUUGUAUUUGCCACUUACUCAAAUCUUUAUUCUCUUUGAAGAUGGUUGAUAGGGCCUUUCAACCAUCAAUAGUGUCCCAUACCAAGGCGAGAAGACCAUCCUAUUAUUUGAUCAUUAUUGAGGCCUUCACAACUACCUUCAAAUAAAAUAUUUGAAGUACUAUUGUUAUCAUGUAACAUGACUAAUAAGUGAAAGAGUAUAGAAAUUAUUAUAAUAUAAGAUAUCUUAGCUCAAAGUAUUAGAGCAACUUAUCUUAUAAAUAGAGUUAAUAGUAAAAAAGAUAGUAAAACUAACAAGUAUCAAUUUUGCCUUUUACAAAAUGGCCUUCUAUUUACUUUGUUGGACCAUAAAUAAGGCAAAAUAAAUUAGAUUAAAUAAAUAAAGAAUAUGAACAUUUGUAAAAAAAAGUUAGGAGCUGAUUUUAAUAAAAAUUAAAUCAAAAAGACAAAAUUUGAUAUCCAAAGAGGGCCAGUUAUGAACCAAGGUUGAAAUCAGACCCUAAGGCACAAAACCAAGCCUCGACAAUGACUUCAGGGUUCUUUUAUAAAUAUGAGAGUGGAAUUUGAUAGCAGACUAAAUAAGGUUUUUAUGAGCAUUGGAUUUGAGUGAUUUGGAUUCAUAAUGACUUUUUAAGACCUUUACAAAGUCAAGUUUGUUUUUGGAUGACUUGGAUUUUGUGAAAUAAAAUAGAGUUGAUGUUUUGGGCGAUUUCAAGAGUUUUGUAAUAGACCUACAAGUAAAAUUUUGUGGAUUAAUGGUUAUAAUUGUACUUAAUAUGUAUUGUAAAUUUUAGCUUGAUUUAACAAUUGAAUUGAGGAUAAUUGAGGUUUAAGUGGAUCAAGAUCUCAGAAAGUAGAAUUUUAGAUCUAGUGAGGAUUUUUAAGUUUUCUUGUAAUCAGCUAAUUGAAUUGGAGUAAAAUUUAUGGAUCAAGAAAGAAGACUUGUUUUCCUAUAUAUAUAAGAAUUUUAAAAUCAAUAAAACAGUGAAAAGAAGAGCUAUUGGCUUUGGAAGAUUCGCAUCAAGGUCAAAGAAGGAGGUCAGCCAAUAUCCGAGCAUGUUUUUGAGGUUAUCAUCUAUUUGGUAGAUGCAAUCUUUUUCAAAUUUUUUGUAUUUUUUGUCAACUUAAUUUUUAAAAAGUAUAAAAAUUUUGACUUAAAUUCAAUAGUUAAUUCAUUAGUUAUUGAGGUUUGAAUUUAUUAUAGAAAUUACUAGGAUUUGGUUUAGGAUUUAAGAUUUGAUUAGGAUUUGAUUUAAGAUUUAAGAUUUGGUUGGGAUUUAAUUUAGGAUUUAGGAUUUGAUUAGGAUUUGAUUUAGAAUUUAGGAUUUGGUUUAGGAUUUAGGAUUUGAUUAGGAUUUGAUUUAGAAUUUAGGAUUUGGUUAGGAUUUGAUUAGGAUUUGAUUUAAGAUUUAAGAUUUGAUUAGGAUUUGAUUUAGGAUUUAGAGUUUGGUUAGGAUUUGAUUUAAGAUUAGGAUUUGGUUAGGAUUAGAAUUAGGAUUAGGAUUUGGCUAGGAGUAGGAUUCGAUUUAGAAUUUAUGAUUUGGUUUAAGAUUUAGAAUUUAGUUAGGAUUUGAUUUAGGAUUUAGAAUUUGGUUAGGAUUUGAUUUAGUAUUUAAUAUUUGGUUAGGAUUUAAUUUAAGAUUAAGAUUUAGUUAAGAUUAGGAUUUGAUUUAGAAUUAGGGUUUGAUUUAGGAUUUAAGAUUUGGUUAGAAUUUUAUUAGGACUUGAUUUAGGAUUUAGGAUUUGAUUUACGAUUAAGAUUUGGUUAGAAUUAAGAUUUGAUUUAGGAUUAGGGUUUGAUUUAGGAUUUAGGACUUAGGAUUUAUUUAGGAUUUAAUUUAGGAUUAGGAUUUGAUUUAAGAUUAAGAUUUGAUUAGGAGUUGAUUUAGAAUUUAAGAUUUUAUUUGAAUUUAUUUAAGAUUUAAGAUUUAACUAGUUUUUGGCUUAAAAUUUGAAUGAAGUCCAAUAGGAUUUUAAUUAGGAUUAAAUUAAGAUUAAAUUGAGAUAUA
rnacentral:lncRNA from 1 species